rnacentral:rRNA from 1 species
UACGUAGGGACCAAGCGUUGUUCGGAUUUACUGGGCGUAAAGGGCGCGUAGGCGGCGCGGUAAGUCACUUGUGAAAUCUCUGAGCUUAACUCAGAACGGCCAAGUGAUACUGCAGUGCUAGAGUGUGGAAGGGGCAAUCGGAAUUCUUGGUGUAGCGGUGAAAUGCGUAGAUAUCAAGAGGAACACCCGAGGUGAAGACGGGUUGCUGGGCCAACACUGACGCUGAGGCGCGAAAGCCAGGGGAGCAAACGGG